AAUGCCACUACAAAUGCUGUUUCCUUGGUAAUUCUAACCAGGAAUGCAAGAUAUUUCACAAGAGCACUGCAAAGUCCAACUUUGCAGAGUCGAGUAGAUCAAAAUGUUUUGUACAUGUAUCUAAACUGAAUCUGAACUCCACUUUCCACUAGUGAUACCUGGCUACUGUUUGUGCAUCUGUAUCGGGCACUCCACAUUGACUGACAGAAGCACUGAGAUAAUUGGGCCAUCAGGUUGGGGUGCCAGCAUAAUACAAAUGCAUCCUGCAAAGUGGCCAUCAUUUGAAAACCUGCAUGUCUAAAGGCAAUGGGAACUGCAGAUUCCUCAAUACCUCUGAAAAUUAGGUUUUUUGUGUAAGUGCUUCACGUAGCAUCUCCUGUUUAUGUCACCUGGACUCAGCUGCAGAUGAGCGCGCCUGAUGAACUGCAUGGGCGACUCUCCACAGCGUGCUUCUCCGCUCCUUCGAAGUCCUGCAACAGUUCAUACUCCUUGUAAACAAGGUUUUCAAAGACAUCAUGAAGACAGACAGAUUUCUAAACAGAGAAAACAAAAACCAGUUUUGCUGCCAAAUAGAGAAGACAGAAGACAAGAAUGAGAAAAAGGAGUAGAACGGACACAAAGAACAAACAAUAUAAUAUUCUUUCAGAUGUUAUCUUAGUUCCAUUGAUUCACUGCCGUAUUUGCAUCUAGAAAUGAAAGUGGAGGAUACAACUAGGGGAUCAUCUAUCUUGGAUCUUGUCCUGAUGAGCAAGGAAGAACUGGUGGAGGAUGUGAAGGACAGUUUGAAGGCUUUGUUUCCAUAUUGCUUGCUUUCACAAUUCAAUUAAAGUUAAGAUCAGCAUACAGAUCCUGCACACCUUGCUGCAGAGUGGGAUGUGAGGAGCCUCCUAUUGCCUGCCACAACCCUGCAUACCACAAGGCCUACUUCACAGCAGCUCUUGCAGCUUCCAACUCUUGCAAGGAUGAGCAGGAGGGGGAACAAAAGAAGGGACAAUCCACUGCUACACCUCUUCUGAGGGCAACAUGAUAAAAAGGAACUAGAAGACUUUAAAAAUACUGACCAAGAUGUCGAUCUCAGCAGAACUCAAAGAUCACCCCGUUGACUUCAGCUUAUGUGCGGCAUAACUGCGAAUCUGAUCAACCACUCUUUGCAUUACAAAGGAGCCAAUGUGCCUAUGUUUACAAUCAGCCAUAGCUUAGACCAAGAAAAAUAUUUUUAUCUGUACACAUGGGUGAAUCCCGGAACUGGAAACAGUGGGCUGCAGGAGAUGCCACCGCCGUCCCCUUCUUUCUCUUCCUCUCCUCUGACGCUCCUCCCAUGGUCACAGCAGGCCACUGCAGCAUCUGUUGGGGAUGUCUUGGAGCCCUUGAAGCAGGACUGGACUGUGUCAAGUCAGAGACGGAGCAAGUAUAAAUUCUGCAUACAUCUACUGAGAGCAAUUGUUAAGAUCCACCCUGGAUAUGGUUCCAGAGAAUUAUAAUAAUAAAUAACUGUUAGCUCAA